CAAAAGGCUCUUUUAAGGGCCACCCACGUAUAUCAAGGAAGGAGCU
rfam:Ophiophagus hannah scaffold2002.1, whole genome shotgun sequence.